GGCGGCGUGGAUAAGACAUGCAAGUCGAACGGGAGUUUGCUGGUAGCAAUAUUAGUGAAUUCUAGUGGCGAAAGGGUGCGUAACACGUAGCUACCUACCUCGAAGUUGGGGAUAGCUCGGCGAAAGCCGGAUUAAUACCGAAUGUGACUGUAAGGUCAAAGCUGGGGAUUGUAAGACCUGGCGCUUUGAGAUGGGGCUGCGGCCUAUCAGGUUGUUGGCGGGGUAAUGGCCCACCAAGCCUAAGACGGGUAGCUGGUCUGAGAGGACGACCANCCACACUGGAACUGAGACACGGUCCAGACACCUACGGGUGGCAGCAGUCGAGGAUUUUUCUCNAUGGGGGAAACCCUGAAGGAGCGACGCCGCGUGAGGGAUGAAGGUCUUCNGAUUGUAAACCUCUGUCAUCUGGGAACAAUGUGAUCUACCUAACACGUGGAUUAUUGAUAGUACCGGAA
rnacentral:rRNA from 1 species